AAUUGCCACUAAGUUGUUUACACGCUUGAGAGACUCUCUCUCUUGCAAACAAAAAUGACCCAUUAGUAUCAGACGAUCUCAAAGACGGUGUGUCCCUCUCUGCUCACCCUCUUACUCCUCUUCAUCUCACGAGCUCAGACCCGCUGAGCCCUUGUCUCAAUUCAUCUCUUCGUAGUAUGCGAGCUUGAACAAAAGGCUGUAGCCGCUGUGCUAUGUCGUCGCCUCAGUUCCUCCUCCGUUUCGGAUGCAGUGGAGUCGGGGAGCUCGUCCCACGGCGGUCAUCAAGUUUUCACGCCUCCUUCUCUAUCAAGUUGUCAGACAAAUCUUUUCUCCGCCGCAUUUCUUCCAUCUCUCAAAGACUCGAACUCUUUUUCGAUCUCUCAGAUCUCCUCAACAACCUCCGGUGAGCCUCGUCGACAGCUCGUCCCACGGUGUUCAUCAAUUCGUCGCCUCUCCUGAUCAGUGCCUCUGAGACGCAAGCUUCUCUCCGCCGCAUAACCGUGAACCCACGCCGUCGUCGACUCCAAACUCAGAUCUGUGUCAAGUUUCUCAUUAUUUCUGUCUAGGUCCCUUCACUUUUAUUAUUUUUAAUGUGUCCCUCAAAUUUCUUAUUUUGUAAAAUUGCUUUUCAAGUUAGCUCCAAAUUUUUAAUUGUGCAACCAACCCUGCUAUAUACAAAUAUCUAUGCAAAUGCGAUACAAAUACAUAACUAAUAUCAGUUGUUUUUUUAUAUAUUUAACCAAGUUUGACCAUUUUAGAAUUUGUUUUUGUAUAGUAUGUUCAUAUAAACAAUAUAACUGAUAUUAUAUUAUAAACUUUACAUAAACAAAAUAGUUUUUGUAUUUGCAAUAAACAAUAUAAUCGAUGAGUAUUAACAAGGUGUUAAACUAUGAUAUUAUAACAUUUACAUAAACAAAAUAUUUUUUGUUAUUUAUGAAAAGUAUAAAAAAAUAUUUCAAAUAUCUAAAUAUAAAAUAUGUUAUCUUAACAUUAUUAAUUUAUAUUAGAGUAUAUUGUUGAUAUUUGAAUGAAACAUGCAAUUCUUAACUAAAAGUUUACACCAAACAUUAAAUCUUUAGUUAACAUCUUCAGAGAUCGUCUGAUACUAAUGGGUCAUUUUUUGUAAUUGGUAAAUCUUAACUAAACAUUUUACACGCUUGAGAGACUCUUUCUCUUGCAAAAAAUGAUCCAUUAGUAUCAGACGAUCUCAAAGACGGUGUGUCCCUCUUAACUAAACAUUAAGUAAUUGGUAAAUCUUAACUAAACAUUAAGUAAUGUAUGCAAGUCUUACGAGAUGUUAUUGGUUUAUAUAUUUUGGUUGAUUUAGAAAUCAAAAUGCAAAUGCAACUCGAACGAUUCCAUUUCAUCUUCUUUCUUAUCAUACGACGUUACACUUGCGUAAAUGUUAAUCAAUCAAGUUAUCCCACUAUUCUCAGUUUCCCACUCCUUGAUAUUCAAUGUUUCUUUAAUUCGAAGUUCACCAGAUUUGUUAGAUAUAAAUACGAAUCGUAUAAGCAAAAAAUCUAACUCCUUUUGCUUUUUUCCAAUCCAGAGCUUCUGUUCAUUAUUAGUCAAACCGAUCUGACCAUGGCGAUUUCUCAAAUUUAUUUCUCAGAGCUGAAGGUUGGCCGCUGCAGUUCAGACAAAACUGCUUCGUUUUUAGGAGGCCCGAAACGUGAAGAAGGGCGGUGAGCUGAUAGUCUCUGAUAUGAUGGCGACGCUCAUCUAAGCCUCUAUCACCAUCUUAACACCUUCAAACAUCUUCAGAGAGAAGGCUCGCUGUAUGAGUUGAGUGCUUUUGAUGUUGCAAGAAGCAACCCAAAUUCCGGUUAGGUGACGCUUCUGUCGCUAUAAGAUUUACGGAUCAGACCGUAUUGGUUGAUCUCGCAUCAUCCAGCCAACCGAUCUUGACUGAACGGUUUAGGUUCUGCAAUUAUGACCAACUCAUGACACUCGCUAACACCAGCACUGAUUUGUUAGUUUCUGUUUCAAUAAUAUAUAUUAGGGGAAGGUUAGGGGUAUUAAAACCUUUUCCAAUGAGGAGACCAAAGUACUCAACGCAUCAUGGGCACCAUGAAAUUUGAAAGUAUUAGGCUUGAUCUAUUCAGGGAGUCAAACGUGUACCUCAGUGUAUUCGACGGCCUUGCUAAGUUCCUCAAUGAGAAGUUUGCUGCCCCUGGUGUGGAACCAAAGGUGGUAGUGCCAACAAACAUAAACCCAAAGUUAGUUGGAGGUAAACACCAUCGCUCUCUUCACCUCUCCCUGCAAUAGUUUCCAGCAAACGUUCCGAAUGUUUCUCACACUUACCAUCAGCUUUCCUCCUGUCGGCUCUUUCUAAAUUGCCGCUAUCCCAUUGUCUAGAAGACAUUGUUUGCACCAUUCUGAACUUUGAAUUAAAGCUCUCUCCAUUCAACUUCACUACCAACCAUCAAAGUUUCACCAUCUCUCGGAUUUUUAAAAGCCACCCGUGACCACCACUACCUUUGUUUGAGAAUCACGGUGGUGAUGAGCACCCUGGUGAUGGCAUGCCUGGUUGUGAUGCUUUGAAAAGGAGUCCUCUUGGUUUGAACAGUCGUGACCUGAAACAAAGUGGCUGCAGUGGUGAUUCGAAUGUUGAGGGCGAGAGAGCAACCACUGGUUUGAACAGUCGUGACCUGAAAAAAACUAUGUUAUGUUUUUUUUAAAUGGUUUUUUUUAUUUUCAUGGGAUUUAUGCUCUGAAUUUUAUGCUAUAAUAAUAACUCUUCGUACUCAGA